UAGGAUUCCCCUAGUAGCUGCGAGCGAACAGGGAAAAGCCCAGCACCGAAUCCCGCGUCCGACAUCGGACGCCGGGAAAUGUGGUGUUUGGGAGGAUCCGCUUAUCCCGAGUGCGUGCGGUGCGUCCAAGUCCUUCUUGAACGGGGCCAUAACCCAAAGAGGGUGCCAGGCCCGUAGCGACUGCUGCCGUGCUCGGGAGGAUCUCUCCUUAGAGUCGGGUUGCUUGAGAGUGCAGCCCUAAGUGGGUGGUAAACUCCAUCUAAGGCUAAAUAUGACCACGAGACCGAUAGCGAACAAGUACCGUGAGGGAAAGUUGAAAAGCACUUUGAAGAGAGAGUUCAAAAGUACGUGAAACCGUUCAGGGGUAAACCUGAGAAACCCGAAAGUUCGAAAGGGGAAAUUCAUUCGCGUUUCGAAUGCAGCGGCUGGUGGUCUCGGUACGAGCGACAAUCGUAGACGUCGUUUGGCCAUUUCGCUAGUCGAACUGCGUUCGAACGCGUGCACUUUUCCCCUAGUAGGACGUCGCGAUCCGUUGGGUGUCGGUCUAAGGCCCGCGGUGGAGCCCGUUCGGACGGUUCGCCGUUUCGUUCGGACCCGCGGUGUUUCCCGGCCGGCUCGCUCGACGGUAUACAGAUGGCGCGGGGCCGCGAUUCAGUUCGCGUCCGGCCUGCGUUCAGCACGUCGCGUGUGUUGGCGAUCGGACCUAGUGCCGGUCUCGACCACGUUCGGCUGCUGUGCGUGGCGUUCUCGGACAGACCUCGUUGAAACGCUGAUCUGCGACGCAUUAGAUUUGGGUACUUUCAGGACCCGUCUUGAAACACGGACCAAGGAGUCUAGCAUGUGCGCGAGUCAUUGGGACAUGACUAAACCUAAAGGCGCAAUGAAAGUAAAUGUUGGCUUUACGCUAACUAAGGGAGGAUGGGCGGUUUGCCUAAUCAGUGGCCGCCCCGCACUCCCGGGGCGUCUCGUUCUCAUCGAGAGAAGAGGCGCACCAAGAGCGUACACGCUGGGACCCGAAAGAUGGUGAACUAUGCCUGGUCAGGACGAAGUCAGGGGAAACCCUGAUGGAGGUCCGUAGCGAUUCUGACGUGCAAAUCGAUCGUCGGAACUGGGUAUAGGGGCGAAAGACUAAUCGAACCAUCUAGUAGCUGGUUCCCUCCGAAGUUUCCCUCAGGAUAGCUGGCGCUCAUAGCGUACGAGUUUCAUCCGGUAAAGCGAAUGAUUAGAGGCAUUGGGGUCGAAACGACCUCAACCUAUUCUCAAACUUUAAAUGGGUGAGAUCUCCGGCUUGCUUGAAAAUUCAUGAAGCCGCGAGUAUUCGAAUCAGAG
rnacentral:rRNA from 1 species